AAAAAGGCGAAACAAAGUUAGUUACACAUAGCUCCAUAUGUACUUCCACAUCCUCUUCUCUUUUUUUUACUUAGCAGUAAACUUUGAAUUAUGUAGGUUGUGUAUAUUGUAUUAACUUUAUUGGUUGUAGAUGAUUAUUUGUUGAUCUAAAUUGAACAUUAAUCGAUGUUUGUACAAUAAAAAUUGUGUGACAUGAAAUAAAAUUUAGGAAGUUAUGAAAGAAGUCAGAAGGUUGCUACGUUACCCACAUCUUAUUGUACCAUCUCGGCAUUUUUCUUUUGAAAUAAAUAGAGCCAUCACCAUUAUAUACAAAUUUCUCAGGAACUGGUACUUGUUUACAAUUAUUGCUUGUUUCUUCAUCUUUCAUUCCAUUGUUCUGCUCUCCAACAUUAGGUGCUUCCAUAUGGCAAAUUUUCCUCUUUUUUCUCUUCUUGCAUAUAACAUCAAAGGACUAAAAGUGCUAGCAUCACGAAAUGUCCUAGAAAACAUAUUUUUAGGAAGGAAGAUAUUUUUCUCUAAGUGGUCCUUUUUACAUUCUGGUGGUCCCUUUCUAUUUUGUGAUUUCAACUUAGCAGGAGCUAUGUUUUAAGCUAAAGAACGAGUAGUUGGCCUCUUCAUAGUGUACUCAUGAACUUGGAUAUCACUUUCAAUAAUAUCAAAAUUUUUCUUUGGCUCACCAACAUGACUUCCACUUUCAUUCAUCUAUAUUUUCGAGGCUUUUGCAUCCUUCUAGAGAACUGAAGAAUUUGGGACACUACUUGGUUGGGGAAGAAAGCGUUGCUUUUAUUUCCUGAAGAAUCAAUAUGAAUUGGUUUAGAUACACAAUACUUUAGUAAUUGAUAAUCUUUGUUAACCUAAGACCCCUAGGUUCCAGAAAGACAAUCUUUUCUCGGUGUAUUGGGAUAGUUAUGCUGAUGAACUAGCUUGUGAAUGAGGCAUAAUUUAUUGAUCUUUCUUGGGCAUUUACUAUGCUUGGAAGGGUAUAAAAAUUGCGCUUACAAGAAUAUACUGUCAUUACCUUUUAGUGUUUUGAUUGGUAUUUGGUUAUUUUGCUGACAAUCUUAUCUCAUUGAGCUAUUCUUCGGUCGAGUGUACAAGUAUAGAUUAACGUAAACACAAAGACAGGACUUCUCUUUGUUGAAAUCCAAGAUUAAGGAAUCCUCUAAUAAUGAAGAAAAUGUUGCUGAGGAUGUAGCAGAACAUAUUAAGGUUGCAACCUUGUCUACUACAAAAGGUUUAAGUCAUGGUUAGGCUGAGGGUGCUGCUACUGCUGCUGCUUGAAAUUUCAACACAUAUGGCCAAAUGUAAGAACCAGUCGAUGGAAGGAAAGAAAAGAAGCAAAGAGGCAAAUGGCAUCGCUUUGUUGGUGCUCCCGUAAUACAUACAAGCUCAUUUGACGCUCCUGUAAUACCUUGGCAGCUUGAUCUAGCACUUGGUUUUGGAGGAAUAACAAAGGGAGAGGCCGAUAUUAGUGGUGCUCGUCAGAGAAAGUGUGGCGGUGAUGGCUAAGUUGGAGGAUCUAGUACAAUAUUGAACAGAUUUGGCCAAAUCUAGUGGUAUGGCGUUGACGGACGACGGUGGCAGUGCUAUGAUUGUGUGGCGGCUACGGCCAGAUCUGGCGGCGACGGCUAGAUCUGGUGGUGUGGCGGCGGCGGCAGCUUCAAAAUAUUUUUUUUCUUUAGCUUCUAAUAUGGUUUCCUUCAUUUAGUUUUUUUCUUCUCAUUUCUACAAAUUUGUGAGGUAAUAAAUUUGAUAAUUUUGAUGGGUAAAAAAUAAUUGUUAAAUCAAUAUUCGUAUAUAUUGAGAUAUUUUAAUGGUGAUAAAGUUUGCAUUAAUGGAGAAAAGAGGUUUAUGAAGUUUCAAGUGAUGAACAAAGUUUUGCAAAAAUUAUAACUUAAAUUUAUGAAUGAUGAAAACAUAAAAAAUAAUGGUUAUUUUUGUGAUAUAGGAAAGUGGUGAUAAUGGUGAAGAUGAUGAUUGUAGUGGUGAGAUCUAAUGUAAAAAUGGAGACAUGGUUAAAGAAGAAUGAAAGAGGAAAGAAGUGAAAAUAAUUUUUUUUCUUAAAAAUAAAUAAUUAAUGAUGUGUCACGUAAAAUCUGACGUGGAUGACGACGUGUCACAUUCGUUGAGCGAUUGAAGUACACACAAAGCCAAGGGUGUUUAAAAUGUUGAGUUUCAUUGAGUCUAAGGGCUCAGUUGACAAAUAAUUAAGUAAAAGGGUUCAUAAUACAAACUGAUAUAAGUACAAGGGUCCACAAGACUAUUCUGCCAUAUUUUUGGUGCAGAAAAUAACUAUGAGCACAAAUUGAUUAACUGAUGCAGGGUGUGCUGUAAAUCAAGUGUAUGAUAUACUUUACUUGAUUGGGCACGACGAUAUUGUUUUUGGUGUUGGAAGUGAAGGUUGAAUACUUCCUAAUGAUACCAGUCUUCCUGAUGUUGGUGGAUAUCUCCCUAUAAUUUAUCAGGUGGCGAAAAAUAUCAAUUUGCUCGACUUUUGGCACUAUUAUGCAAGUCUAGAAUCAUUUGCUUUAAUGUCAGAUUGUUGGUUUGUUAAACCUCUCCAUAAUUUUCGUUUACUUGAAAUCUUGAGUACGCUUAAUAUUUAGUGAUUUGUUAGGAAAAUGCUACAGUUGGUUAUUGUAGAUAUACACAAGCUAUUCUUCUUGAACCCGGAUAACGUUUGCAUAUGGACUCUAAUUUUGGAUUUAGAAAGAGCUUCCUCCCACAUGUACUAUAAAGGUGAAGGGAUGAUUACUUUUUCUAGCUUCCUUAAUCGCAUUAUUAUAAAUGUUGUCUAGCUUUCCUAGUCGCAUCUUUUUUGGUUUUCACAAGAAGAAACAAAAUUAGAUACUUAAAAUUCAAUCCGCAGUAUGGUUGAAUGUAACACAGGAUAUCAUUUAAAUAACCAAGGAUCACUGCCUACUUAAAUCUAUAUUUGAUUGCUUUCUGUCAGUCACAAUGAAAUGGCACAUCAAAACAACAUUCCCAAUGAAAUCCCAUAAGCUGGGUUUGGAAAGGGUAGAUUGUACGCCGACCUAAGCACUAAUUGUGUUGCACAAAUUCUACAACUGAUUCUUGUAUAUAUGUACUGAAGAGCUUUUCUUUGGAAGGUUCUCAAUUAGUAUAUCUAGACUUGGCACUAAUGCAUUUAUUUUUGAGGGUAUGUUCAGUUCUAUGCUACGUGAAAUUAGUAUGACUAGAUAAAAGAGCUUAAUUCGACUUCUAGGUUCGUCUAAACAUAAAAUGUUUUGAUAACAUGUUAAUCAUUCACUUAUCAACAAGGGAAGAGACAUUAUUCACCUAUUCAACAGCCAACGAUUCAACAAGUAAUGAUCAACAAUGAAGAAGAAAAAGUUUGUUGAUUUCUUGGUUUGUUUCUUUAUAUUUCCGUAUUCGUUCUAGUCCUUUCCCUCAGUUAGCUUUUUUGAACUUAUUGCAGACUUAACAUUUUUUUCUUGUAGUUGCACAAACUAAUUAAGUAGUAUCUUCUAAAAGACAUCCCCUUUUAAUCGACAUGAUUUAUAUCAUCCACAACUUUCAUCUAGAAGUAUUAUCAUCGCAAAGUCACAUGUUUCUGCUAAACAAUGGAAAUGCACUCUUUUUUAGUAUUUUACACCGUAAUAGAUGUUGAAUACAAAUAGUUAAGGGGCUAAUCUAUUUUCAUGUUGUAUUUUUGUUUACAUGAUUUAGAUUCUAUUUUGUUCCAUAUGUGAAGUAAGUUUGACUUAAUACAGAGUGUGUAGGAGAUCAUAAUUUAUUUUCUUCGUAAUAUGGUUUCUGUGCUGGUUUGAGGUAGGAGAUACUCCUUGAAUUAUCAAGAUGCAUACAAGCUAGCCUAAGUACCAAUGUAAAAAAAGAAGAAGAAAUUGAUCCAACUUUAUAAGAUAAACAUCAAUGAUCUUAAAAGAAACUCAUAAAACCUCAUUUUUAAAGAUGAACAAAACAAGAACUAACAACAAUAUAUUUCGAUGAUAUUCUAACUGGACAUUAUUAUACCACAACACAGAACUACACUUCAAUUCUAAACAAGUUCGGGUUGAUUCUAUGAAUUACAAGACUCAUUUUUUAAAUUGUACUUCAUAUGAUAAUAGAUUUGCUACUCUAGGAGCAUGUGGAUCAUCAAUAUUUACUGAAACUUUGUCUUUUUUUUCUUAUGCAUUGUACCGAAGGGUUUUAAAUUGAAUAAGUGAAGUCGUACUUGAUUUUUGGUGGUGAAGAGAACUCCUUAUAACAUAUGGAUAUGGUUCCCCAGAAUUUGAGUAAGGGAUUUACAUUUAUCAGUGUGAUGCUUAUUGUUUUUGUGUGGUGGUGUUGGAACUCGUAACAAGCAGAAUGUCAUUUGAUUGGUAAAGCCAUUUGCAUCUCAUUGAAUAAAUUUCUUUGUGUUGUUUUCUCCUAGCUUUAUCAUUACCAAUAUAUAAUAUUCAGAACUCAAAGUUUAGGAGAGAAAUUCUUGGUCAGACAGGCUAUCCCUUACCUACAUUAUAUUGAUGCCUUGACAAGAAUGGUUAAUCCUUCUUUCAAUGGAGAGUACCUACUUAAGUCAUUAUCACAUUUUGGACAUAAUUUCGUGAUGCGUUUUGGUUUGUUAGUGAAUGUAAAUUUCAGGUAACACCAUGAGUUGUUCGUGAUUUUCAAAAGUAAACAGUGAUCUUAUAGUGUUUAUUGUCUAUGAUAUGAAGGUGAGGUGACCAGCUAAUGGAAGCAAAACAUUGAGUAAACUUCAAUUUGAGGUAACACUAUGUUCAUAUGAGAUAACUGAGCUCGUCAUUUUUUUUGAGAUUUGGUAUUGACUUGUUUCUUGCCCUCGGAUAGCAGAUUACUUGGAUGUGUCUAUUUUGUUCCAAUGAGAGUUAUGGCACCUGUAUUGGGAUUAGAAUAACACAGACUUCUACUACUUUGUAUUUCUUUUUACAUCUGCAUAACGUGUAUUUUUCAUUAUAAUCUGACCUAUAGUUUGUUUUUUCUUUAAAUUUGGAAGUUAAUGGGGUACAUUAUGAAGUAGCUUGUCAGUGUCGGGAACUUGAUUAUGACUUGUCAUCCCAAAAAACAUUUGGCGAUUACUUUAGAAAGGUACUUACUUUUGCUCCUUAUUAUAUAAACUUUUCUUGCCUUCCUUUCUAAUAACGUACUAGAAGUUUGUUAGACAUGGAAGAACUAUGAAUAGAUUUAUAUAUAUUGAACUAGCCAAUUGAAAUGGUUCAGUCUUGUUUAGCUUUUGGUCAAUUAGAGGUUAGGAUGAAGAUACUCAGUCGCUCAGUGGAUGACAAAAAAGUGACAGCAGGGUGCAACAAUGUAAUAUUUCUUGUCAAGUGUCCAAUUGCUUAAAAAGGUAAGCUCUAUCAAAUGUCAAACAAGAAUAAUAAUUACUCGGAACUAACUUUUUUGUAUUAAUAUAUCCAACUUUUGCUUGUAAGGGUCUGCAAAGAUAAAAAGUUACUCAUAUUUUCACUUGCUCCAUAUACAAGAGUAAAACUCUCAUUUUAUAAUUUAGCCAGGUCAAAGUGAUAAAAAUUUUGUGGGAUAAAGGAAGUAGUUGUCCAAAACUCUUGUAUUGCAUAUGUUUGGAGAUUUUGUUGUAUCACAAUGUCCAACUCUUUAGUUAUAUUGACAGGACGUCAUUUAUGAAAGGUUUUUCUCCUUAAAAAAGACCCUAUUAUUUCCUUUUAAAGUUUGCUGAUACAGUCUCAUCUGACAUGACAUUAGUAUGUGGCAUGAAGCUUAUCUAUAUUCCACACAGUGUGACCAGAGAGUAGUAGGUCUACUUUUGAAGAAUAUUAUGCUCGAGUCAAUUUGAUCUCAUUAAAGUGGAUGAGAAGAGUUUUUGAACUAUUGUAGAAGUUUGAUUUCAUUAUAUUUAAUUUUGUUAAACAUAUUUAUUGCUAGAAUAUAUUGAACCAUUGUAAGAGUACUUUCUGUACUAUUGUGGACA